UGGGCAUCGUCAUCAAGAGGGUCGUGCUGGGCCUGCCGGUAGAGAUAGUGGGGCAGUGGGGCUGAAUAGAGUGGCCGCACGCUGUGGAGGUUGCUUGCUUGAUCUGGGCACGAGCGAAUAAAUAAAGAAAGGAGCCAGAUGAAAGAGCGCAUUGCAUCGAGGAGAGAGAGAGAGGCUGCCUUUCCUUUGCUUGCUUUUGCUGCAGAGAAGAGGAGAGGAGGCAGGGCGGGGUGGCGGGCAUGUUCCAGGAGGAGGAAUUUUAAAGGCACGGCAGUGGAGUUGGUUCGAUCGAUCCUACGGCCCGACAAUGUAAUGCAUAGCAUGGCUUGAUCUACCAACUGGAGAAGAAAUUCAGCAGCACAUGCAGUCACAUUCUCCCCCUGGUGCAAACAUGGGGGCAGAGAUAUAAACAAAACAACGUCGCUGGUAAACAAACGAUCUGAGUCUGAACCGGGCUGAUCGUUUGAAAACUGUUUUGCCUUCGGACUGUCCAAGGUCCCUUGGAUGGCGGCAAAGUUCAAAAUAAAACGACAUGAGACUUGCCGUGGUGACCGGAGCGCAGUAGUACACUGGCUGCAUCUGUUCCACGGCGCCUGCGCAGGAUCCGGGAGUUAAAUCCGAGUAUCUAAUCAGUUCAGUACAGCCGCUAUUAAUCUGACGGCUCCUGAGAUUUUUACUAGGCCCUUGUUUAGAUGCAUAAUUAAAGUUUGGGAAAUUUGUAUACAGGACACUCUGAAAGACUGGUUUUGAGUGAA